rnacentral:lncRNA from 1 species
UGAGGUGCGCAAUGCAUUGUGGGGCAGAAGCAGUACGUGAAGCAAGCACCGUUCCACACUCAAAAUUCGAAGCCGAUUGAGUAUACAUCCGGGCAUUUCUAGCAUACACAGAAUUCGCAUACUGUACAGUGUGAAUGCACUGCCUACUCAAUUCAGAGGCAAGGUUAGUAUGAGUAGUAUGAGUAGUAUGCCAUUUCGGAGCAUACUACGGUGCAUUUGAAGCGUGCAUGACGUCAUGACGGCGCGAACGGUGUCCCAUUUGGCACGAGAUGCUAAGAAAUGCUAAGCGCGCUUGGCAUUUUUUCAAGCGUGCAUUUAUGCACGCUUUCAUGCCGUCUGUAUCCCAGAAUGCUUUGCGUGCCGCUGCACAGCUGCGCAUUUCAGGUGAGAGGCUGGACUCGCUUGUAGACACAGCGCGUCUUUAAAAAAAUGCAAGAAAUCCAG